UCCAAAGAAGUGACCGAGCUCAGU
rnacentral:piRNA from 1 species